rnacentral:rRNA from 1 species
GCUGGCGGCAUGCUUAACACAUGCAAGUCGAACGGUAACAGCGGGAGCUUGCUCCUGGCUGACGAGUGGCGGACGGGUGAGUAACGCGUAGGAAUCUACCCAGUAGUGGGGGACAACCCGGAGAAAUCCGGGCUAAUACCGCAUACGCCCCAAGGGGGAAAGAGGGGGACCUUCGGGCCUCUCGCUAUUGGAUGAGCCUGCGUCGGAUUAGCUAGUUGGUAGGGUAAAGGCCUACCAAGGCGACGAUCCGUAGCUGGUCUGAGAGGACGAUCAGCCACACUGGGACUGAGACACGGCCCAGACUCCUACGGGAGGCAGCAGUGGGGAAUAUUGCACAAUGGGGGUAACCCUGAUGCAGCAAUGCCGCGUGUGUG